GCGGUGACGACGUCCUUGAGCCUGGCGUCGGCGGGGAGGCGCCAGUAAUCUAUGGCGAUGGCCGGCGCGGGCGUGUUCUCGAUCAAGCCAGCCUCGAGGUCCUUGAGGUAUUCGGUGUAGGAGUGGACGGCCUCCUCCUCGAGGUAGCCAACGAAGCGGUGCGCGAACUUGGGGGAGACGAGGUAGCCGACGAAGUAGGCGUUGAAGAAGACGCCCUGAGUGGCGAGCACGAGCGCGCGCUCCCACCACAGCGGCUGCGUCACCUCCAUGAAGGUCAUGAG
rnacentral:lncRNA from 1 species